GGUCUCGAACUCCUGACCUCGUGAUCUGCCCGCUUCGGCCUCCCAAAAUGUUGGGAUUACAGGCGUCAGCCACCGUGCCCACCUGAGCUGUCUUACCUGUAUUUUACUGUCUGCUCUUUCUGGAUGCUUGUAAUUAGAAGAGAAGUGAUUUCCUUGAAAUGCAUGAGGCUAGAAAGGGAGCUAGAACUUAAAGUGGCAGUGUUUGUCUGAGUUGAUGGUGCUCCUGCUCUAUCACUUGGAGCUUCAAUCUUCAUUAUUAAUAAAAAAUACUAUUUCCCCCAG
rnacentral:lncRNA from 10 species